GACGAACGCUGGCGGCGUGCCUAAUACAUGCAAGUUGAGCGCUGAAGGUUGGUACUUGUACCAACUGGAUGAGCAGCGAACGGGUGAGUAACGCGUGGGGAAUCUGCCUUUGAGCGGGGGACAACAUUUGGAAACGAAUGCUAAUACCGCAUAAAAACUUUAAACACAAGUUUUAAGUUUGAAAGAUGCAAUUGCAUCACUCAAAGAUGAUCCCGCGUUGUAUUAGCUAGUUGGUGAGGUAAAGGCUCACCAAGGCGAUGAUACAUAGCCGACCUGAGAGGGUGGUCGGCCACAUUGGGACUGUGACACGGCCCACACUCCUACGGGAGGCAGCAGUAGGGGAUCUUCGGCAAUGGGCGAAAGUCUGACCGAGCGACGCCGCGUGAGUGUAGAAGGUUUUCGGGUCGUAAAACUCUGUUGGUAGGGAAGAACGUUGGUGAGAGUGGAAAGCUCAUCAAGUGACGGUAACUACCCAGAAAGGGACGGCUAACUACGUG
rnacentral:rRNA from 1 species